rnacentral:rRNA from 1 species
CAGUAGCCGCGGGAAUACGAAGGGGGCUAGCGUUGUUCGGAUUUACUGGGCGUAAAGCGCACGUAGGCGGACUUUUAAGUCAGGGGUGAAAUCCCGGGGCUCAACCCCGGAACUGCCUUUGAUACUGGAAGUCUUGAGUAUGGUAGAGGUGAGUGGAAUUCCGAGUGUAGAGGUGAAAUUCGUAGAUAUUCGGAGGAACACCAGUGGCGAAGGCGGCUCACUGGACCAUUACUGACGCUGAGGUGCGAAAGCGUGGGGAGCAAACAGGAUUAGAUACCCCGGUAGUCCUGUCUCUUAUACA